GACGAACGCUGGCGGCGUGCCUACAUGCAAGUCGUACGCUUCUUUUUCCACCGGAGCUUGCUCCACCGGAAAAAGAAGAGUGGCGAACGGGUGAGUAACACGUGGGUAACCUGCCCAUCAGAAGGGGAUAACACUUGGAAACAGGUGCUAAUACCGUAUAACAAUCGAAACCGCAUGGUUUGAUUUGAAACGCUUUCGGGUGUCGCUGAGGAUGGACCCGCGGAGCUAGUGGUGAGGUAAGCUCACCAAGGCCACGAUGCAUAGCCGACCUGAGAGGGUGAUCGGCCACAUUCUGAGACACGGCCCAAACUCCUACGGGAGGCAGCAGUAGGGAAUCUUCGGCAAUGGACGAAAGUCUGACCGAGCAACGCCGCGUGAGUGAAGAAGGUUUUCGGAUCGUAAAACUCUGUUGUUAGAGAAGAACAAGGAUGAGAGUAACUGUUCAUCCCUUGACGGUAUCUAACCAGAAAGCCACGGCUAACUACGUGCCAGCAGCCGCGGUAAUACGUAGGUGGCAAGCGUUGUCCGGAUUUAUUGGGCGUAAAGCGAGCGCAGGCGGUUCUUAAGUCUGAUGUGAAAGCCCCCGGCUCAACCGGGGAGGAUUGGAAACUGGGAGACUUGAGUGCAGAAGAGGAGAGUGGAAUAUGUGUAGCGGUGAAAUGCGUAGAUAUAUGGAGGAACACCAGUGGCGAAGGCGGCUCUCUGGUCUGUAACUGACGCUGAGGCUCGAAAGCGUGGGGAGCAAACAGGAUUAGAUACGUAGUCCACGCCGUAAACGAUGAGUGCUAAGUGUUGGAGGGUUUCCGCCCUUCAGUGCUGCAGCUAACGCUAAGCACUCCGCCUGGGGAGUACGACCGCAAGGUUGAAACUCAAAGGAAUUGACGGGGGCCCGCACAAGCGGUGGAGCAUGUGGUUUAAUUCGAAGCAACGCGAAGAACCUUACCAGGUCUUGACAUCCUUUGACCACUCUAGAGAUAGAGCUUCCCUCGGGGGCAAAGUGACAGGUGGUGCAUGGUUGUCGUCAGCUCGUGUCGUGAGAGGGUUAAGUCCCGCAACGAGCGCAACCCUUAUUGUUAGUUGCCAUCAUUYAGUUGGGCACUCUAGCAAGACUGCCGGUGACAAACCGGAGGAAGGUGGGGAUGACGUCAAAUCAUCAUGCCCCUUAUGACCUGGGCUACACACGUGCUACAAUGGGAAGUACAACGAGUCGCGAAGUCGAGGCUAAGCUAAUCUCUUAAAGCUUCAGCGGAUUGUAGGCUGCAACUCGCCUACGAAGCCGGAAUCGCUAGUAAUCGCGGAUCAGCACGCCGCGGUGAAUACGUUCCCGGGCCUUGUACACACCGCCCGUCACACCACGAGAGUUUGUAACACCCGAAGUCGGUGAGGUAACCUUUUGGAGCCAGCCGCCUAGGGAUAGAUGAUUGGGGUG
rnacentral:rRNA from 1 species